CAUUCUGGGAAUAACAAAGAUAAAUCUAAGUUCUUUUACAAGGCCACACUUCUUCAGCAAGUCAACGAUCUUCUGGAAAGCAUUUCCAUUGAAAUAACUACUGCACAUGGAAUAGUUGAAGAAUUAGAGACUGCAAUAAAACCUAUAGAGAAGGAACUCAACGAGCUGCAGGUUAAAAUUAAAACGAUGGAACAUGUUGAACAAUUUUCCAUACAUGUUCAACAGUUAAAAAAAGAAACUUGCCUAGUCAUGGGUUUAUGAUGCGGACAAGAAACUUAAGGAACAAAAUGUAAAGAUCGAAAAGCUGAAGAGUCGGGUUCCUACUUGCCAAGCUAAGAUUGAUAAACAACUGCAUCAACUUGAAAAAAUUAAGUGAAAACUGUUCUGCAAAGAAAGCUCAAAUUGCAAAUAUGAUAACAUCACAAGUAAAGCAAAUGAAGGAAAAUUUAAGUCGCACGAUGUCCUUGGCCAAAAAAGAAGUAUUUGAACUACAGCGAGACUGCAAUCGCAAAACUAGUAACAUACAGAAGAUGGUACAACGGCUCAAAAGGCUUGAACUACAAAUGCAGGAUACUCACGAGCAGCACUUGAAAAAUACCCAGGCUGAAGAAUCUGACAUAGAGGAAAACCAUCACUCACAUGACAGCUCUGUGCGGUAAGAGCAAUUUAUAUGCAUUGCGAAGACACCCUCUCCGUUCAUUUACUCACGUUUCACUGCAGUAAAAAGACACAUUAACUCGGCAAGGCGGUAAAAGUCCAAAAGAGGAAUUAAGACAAAUUCAGGAAGAAAGUAUAGGAUUUGUUACCGUUUCCAGACAAAACACCAAAUGAGGUAGACAACUGUGAGCACCCUAAAGGAUUUCGCAGGGGUACCCCUUUUGAUCUGAGUAACCAGCUCAAAACCCUAAACAGGGUGAGUAUAAAAGUCGCCUCCUCCUCCACCAGAGAGGACGACGAAAAAACCCUAAGAAUUUGGACGGCUAUUGUAGCGAAAAAACCUAGCAAUUUUCCAUCGAAAAAGCCGCCUCCUCCUCCACCGGCGAUUGACGAAGCGUAGGAGUUCGUGGGAGCGGGAGAUUUGUAUCGAAGAGGAGAGGUUUGAAGAGCAAGUGACAAAGGUGAGCGCUUUUUGUUGAUUCUUUUUGAAAGCCACGGGUUUAUUUGCGUUUAGAAAGGUCAAGAGAAUGGAUGAGGCUGAGAGAAUGCGUUCGUCUUCUUGAGGAAGAUGAACGAGUUUUUUUGUAGCAUUCUGUUUCACGUUCCCAGUUCUUUUUCUUUUAUUUAGUUUAAAGGCAUUUAAAACUUAAUACCAUUUGGUUUUUC
rnacentral:lncRNA from 1 species